GCUCUGCUGCAUCAUUCGCAAUCUCAGGGCAGUCACGGCACUCUACUCACUCGUCGCCACCAAGAGCAGCAGCUCGAGCCUUUCCGAGAGGCGCAUGUGACUCGCGGCGAGGCUUUGAGCUCCUUUGCUCCGAGCUCUCCUGGCGUCCGUGCCAGUUCGAUGCUGAGCUGAGAGGCUGGUGAGGAGGAGGGAGAGAAGGAUGGAGUUCAUGAACGGCGGGUCGUCGAAGCAGCGCCGCCCGGCGAGGGAGGAGGGGGCGCCGCUGCCGAGGCAGGGGUCGGUCUACUCGCUGACGUUCGACGAGUUCCAGAGCGCGCUCGGCCGGGCCGCCGCCGGAGGCGGCGGCGGCACCGGGAAGGACUUCGGCUCUAUGAACAUGGACGAGCUGCUCCGGAACAUCUGGAACGCGGAGGAGACCCAGGCCAUGGCCUCCGCCUCCGGCGCGGGGGUGCCGCCCACGAUGCUGCAGCGCCAGGGCUCGUCGCUCACGCUUCCCCGCACGCUCAGCGCCAAGACGGUCGACGAGGUGUGGCGCAACCUCGUGCGCGACGAGCCGCCGCAGGGGGCGGACGGCAACGGACAGGAGCAGGCCCACCGCCAGUCGACGCUCGGGGAGAUGACUCUGGAGGAGUUCUUGGUCAGAGCCGGCGUGGUCAGGGAGAACCCCGCCCCCGCCCCAGCGCCACCGCCUAUGCUGCCGCCGCGGCCGGUCCCUGUUGCCCCUACAAGCUCCGCCCUUUUCGGGAAUUUCCAGGGUGCCGACGAUGCCGCCACUGCGGCAGCUCUGGGGUUUGCGCCGGUCCGCAUGGGGGAUCUGGCCCUUGGCAAUGGGCUGAUGCCGCCGAGGGCGACGGGCGGCAUGGGAGGCAGCGCCGCCAUGGCUGUUCAAACAGCGGUGAACCAGAUCGAUUCUGGCGGGAAGGGGUACAGCGACCUGUCGUCGCCGACGGAGCCUCUGCCCUAUUCGUUUGAGGGGAUGAUCCGGGGGAGAAGGAAUGGCGCCGGAGUGGAGAAAGUGGUGGAGAGGAGGCAGAGGAGGAUGAUCAAGAACAGGGAGUCUGCGGCGAGGUCUCGGGCGCGCAAACAGGCAUAUACAAUGGAGUUGGAAGCUGAAGUUCAGAAACUCAAGGAGCUAAAUCAGGAACUGGAAAGGAAACAGGUGUCUUCUCUAGUUCUCUAAAAACGCUGCAACUGCAGGUGUUAGGCAGAGAUUAUGGAAAUGCAGAAGAACGAGGUACCGGAAAUGUUGAAGGAUCCAUUCGGACGGAAGAAACGGGCGUGCUUGCGAAGAACACUGACAGGCCCCUGGUGAUGCGUGGUUGCCUUGCCUCGAACAGUAGAUGAUGACUAGCUGCAUACCGACAGUAGUGGUGCUUGCAUUGCGAUCUGUACAUAAUCUCUCUCCAUUAGACUAGCUAGGGAUGAGCAUUGUCAGAAUCGGUUGUACUGCUUGCUCCCUCCCUGUAGAUUAUGUGGUACUUGGUAGAGAAGCAAGUGGAGUGAAGCCGGCAGUAGGAACCGGCUGCAGCCAUCCGUCAGAGCUUGUGUAGAUUUGCCUAGGUUUGCGUCUUGCCGGUUCGUCGUUGUAGAAGAGAUGUGGAUGAUUUCGAAAGAUCGAUGCAAGUAGAAGUAGGUUAGUGGGAUCCAACUAGGGAGAGCAGCCGUCUCGAUGAUUAUCUGUAUGUAUAUCUGAUGGAUUUAGUAUGAACUAUCUGUUGCUGCUUGCGUGUGUAUAACAGAAUCAGAUGGCGCUAAUUGUAUUGGUGAUGCUUGAUGUA